rnacentral:tRNA from 1 species
GGUGCUGUGGCACAGUGGGUUAAUGCCCUGGCCUGAAGCGCCAGCAUCCCAUAUGGGUGCUGGUUCGAGUCUUGGCUGCUCCU